GAUGAAGAACGUAGCGAAAUGCGAUACGUAGUGUGAAUUGCAGAAUCCAGUGAAUCAUCGAAUCUUUGAACGCACAUUGUGCCCGCCAGUAUUCUGGCGGGCAUGCCUGUCUGAGCGUCAUUUCAACCCUCAUGCCCCUAGGGCGUGGUGUUGGGGAUCGGCGAAAGCCCGCGAGGGACGGCCGGCCCCUAAAUCUAGUGGCGGACCCGUCGUGGCCUCCUCUGCGAAGUAGUGAUAUUCCGCAUCGGAGAGCGAUGAGCCCCUGCCGUUAAACCCCCAACUUUCCAAGGUUGACCUCAGAUCAGGUAGGAAUACCCGCUGAACUUAAGCAUAUCAAUAAGCGGAGGA
rnacentral:misc_RNA from 1 species